UGGACUCUGAGAGCUAUAUGUUUGGACCCUAUAAGAUUGACUCAAAGGAAGUGUUUUACUAUACAGAGAAUGUUUCAAUAUCGGGCAACGUUGGGCUACUAGCUGCGGCGAGGGCGUUGGAGCUUCUGAAAAUCCUUUCAAGGGAAUUUUUACUGCGCUUCCCAAGCCCGGAGGAAGCGAGUUUGUGAUGGACUUGCCGGAAGCAAUUGGAGAGAAAAGGACGAUUAUCGAAUAAAAAUGCAAUUUUGGGAUCAAACUCAACGUGCUAGAAAUUAAAAGACUUAAGUGCAUUAAUUAUAAGGAAAUGAGGCCUUGAAAGAUAAAUUGUACCUAAUUGGGCCUCAAAUAAAUGGAAAGUGAAAAAUAAUAUUUGGGCCUCAAUAAUUGUAGAAAAUGGGCUGCCUUGGGAUUUAUAAAAGAUAGAUAGAAAACGGCAGCCAGGAGAAAAAGGAAAAUGGAAGAAAAACCUAAAAGAGAAUUUAGUCUUCUUUGGGGAGUCAACAAAAACGGCUGCUAGGGGGGAGAAAAGAGGAGAAUUUGGACGGCUGCUGGUAGAAAGAAAUUGAGUAACAGUAGGGCUGCCAAACUAUAUUAUAUAUAUACACAUUGGGAGGCCGCUAACGGAGUUGCUGGGGAAUUAAAAAGGCAGCUGCUUGGAGGAAAAUAAAAGUUGGCGUUGAAAGUCAGGCAUUGCAGGCUGUGGGAAGAAAGGAAGGGAAGAAUUCUUGGGGCUUUGCUUUGGAAUUCAAUCACAGUGGCCAGCCAAAUUAAAGGAAGCAAAACGGGAGAAUAAUCUAGAGAAAACUGGUCCCUUUUUGG